UACGUAGGUGACCAGCGUUGUCCGGAUUUACUGGGCGUAAAGAGCGCGCAGGCGGUCGUUCAAGUCGAGUGUGAAAGCCCCCGGCUCAACUGGGGAGGGUCACUUGAUACUGAUCGACUCGAAGGCAGGAGAGGGAAGCGGAAUUCCCGGUGUAGUGGUGAAAUGCGUAGAUAUCGGGAGGAACACCAGUGGCGAAGGCGGCUUCCUGGCCUGUUCUUGACGCUGAGGCGCGAAGCUAGGGGAGCAAACGGG
rnacentral:rRNA from 1 species